UCAGGAGAGAGUGGUGGGCUCCAGAGGGCUGGGAGAUGGUCACCGGCCCCAGGGAAGGAAAAAGUGUCUGGGUGAGAGAGUCGUGGCAAGAAAGCAGGAGCUGUAGCCCAUGGAGAUAGUACUGAGAGGAGCAGGGACCUGACUCACCAAUAACUCAACCCCCGCAGCGGCAGGGAGAAACUUUCUAGGGAUCAGAGGGAGGUGACUGCAAAUCAAAACCUACCGUGAUCACAGUAACCAAACAGAAAGCAAGAGCUUUCCUAAUGGUUCUUUCAUAAAGUAUCUGAAAGCAUCAAGAUUUCGGGAGGAACGAAAUCAUCCAAGAACUGGAAUUUUCAUCCUCUCAGGAGCUCUACUUAAAGGUCAUCUUGCAAAGCUGUUUUCAUCUUGGGAAUGGUCAUGUCGACUGUCUGCUCCCUUGACAAUAAUAAUGUACAUCACUUCUCACAGUUUUCAUGAAAUGGAGGAUCGUAGGACGUCACAGGAGAUCGCUACAGCCUGAUCCGGCUGCAAGAAGCUGCGAAAAGUUUCGAGCUGUUUUCAGUGACUCUCCUGUCCAUGGGAUUGCUCCUCCUGCCCAUUCCCAAGAAGAGGGGAGUGAAGUAAUUGGUCCGUCUCUGGCAGAAUCCCGAAGCCGUGUGUCCCGCGCGCCUCAGCCUGCGAAGCCCUGAAGAGCCUGGGUGACUGGUGCCUCUUGCAUUUCCCCCGGGGAUGGGUCUGGGCUGAAGCAGCAGGAGGUGCAAACGGGGUGCUCCUGCUUUGGGGAGCAGUGGUCCAAAAGAGGCUUGGGGAGCUUCCGCACCAGUGGGGUUAGUAGCUUUUUUUUGUUCAAAUCUUGGUUUAGUAGAGGAGCAAAUGAAAAUGGGUAUGUGAAAGCUCUCCUGUUAGGCAGAGUAUUUCAGACUCUGUGUUCAAGCUGUAUUUUAAUCAAGGGUAUCAGAAAUACAGAGAGAGUUUGUCACACAGACUGAGCGUUAGGGAUAUUUUAACAGGCAGAAAGAAGGAUGAGUGAGAGCUUAGCAAACUAACAUAGGCCUGGAAAAUAAGAUUUGAUGACCUUUUAAUCACUGGCUUUCUCAGUAUGUAGAGGAAGACAAUUUAUUUUCCCAGUGCUUCAGUUGCUUUCUGUACAGUGGGGAUAAUAACACUACUUGAAAUAAGCCUUGUAGGGAGAAAUGUUAAAUAUUGGCAGCUGCUUAUGGGUUUACAAUCAAAGAAUCACACUAGCUAUUUACUUCGGGCGAGUAAAUGCUAUGUGUAGAUACAGAAUUUCAAAGUAAAAUUGGUCAUGAAAUCAUGAUACGGUAAGGCACUCCUCUCAGACUAUGACCAGAGGGUACCGGAGGACCUGUGGUAUUUUAUGAGACAUCUGUACCAUGAGCUAAAAAACCAACUGGACAUUAAAGAGCCUUUGACAAUCUUCAGAGGAAAAGACGAGUUAUCACCUUUAAAUCUGAAAUUACAGAUAAUUACAUUUUCCUCCCUUAAUCACCCUGUAGUUCCAAUUAGGGAUGCUAUUUCUCACUUUCUCUCCCAAAGUGUGGCGCAAUGCCGCUAUGCAUUAGUGAACAGCUGCCUCACUUGACCCCAGCGGUGACUGCUUCUUGGCGGUGGAUGAAACGAGCCACGCCGAUUCCUUGACUACAUCACAGGGAUAUUGUGACUGGCUUAAUUAGAUAAUGCUCAAGAAGCGUUGUGAGAUACUUGGCUUAAAAGCAUUAUGUAAGGCCAAAUUAAUUAUGAGUAUUAAUACAAUCUUGAUCUAAAGAGUAAUUUGAAUAAGGGAUAAAAUAAUAACGAGAUCUUUGUGAGUCACGUACGGAGUGCUUUGCUUCUCCACAUAAAACAUCUCCCACGUCAUUUAAAAUGUUUCCGUGGAGCAGAGCAGGGCAGUGCCGCUCAGAAGUGACAGGAAUAUGCGCUGCCAGAUGUGAGUCAUCGCUGAACUCCAGCACUCCUUCCUUUGUUCACAUUUCAAGCACCAGACACCCUGUUCCCUAAGACAGAGUUGCCUGCAGAUGCCUUGAUGGAACAUGAAAUGAGGAACCCGCCAGACAAGGUGGGGUUGUUUGGUUUUGUUUUGAAGUUUGGGGGAUUGUCUUCAUUCCCUGUGCAGAUCUGUGGUGACAUGGCACAACCAACCUUGUCCCUGGGUGAAAUGCUGGCAUUUCUGAAAUCAAGGAAAUGUUCCCUUUGACUUCAGUGGAACCAGGAUUUCCACCACGUACAUGUUUCAGUGCCGUGUUCUUUCAGGUAGGGAAACGUGGAAGUGCUGGAAACUAUGUGAAUUUACGUAGCCAUAUAGUCAAUUUCCCUACAAAAUUAGAAAAAUCAGACUGAACUGAACUGACUGAUCUCCAAAUCUGUCUUGAUGGCUGUGUGGCCAGCACAGGCUUCCACUGCAGCUUUUUGCUUGGUAAGCUUUAUACAUUUUGUGGAUACCUACCUAGAAAGUUUGGUAUCAGAUUUAUUUUAAUGAAAUCUGAACACAUGGAGAACAGAUUUCUAAGUCUAAACUUUUUAUAUGGCUACGGUAGAUUCUUUUGAUUAAAGACACAUAUCUACAGUACUCUAGGAUGAACUGAGUUGCUACCUAGAUCUGCACUGACUCUAAGAGGAGUCUACAGUAAGUAACUACAUUUAGUCACAUGAAUUUUAUAAUUUUAUAUUUACUUUUUGGUAAGUACUUUAGGAUUUUAAUGAAACAGGGCUGCAAUAUUGAAUGAGUUAAUGUUACUGAGCUAGUUACCACAGAAACUGAGCACAGAAUUGUAUUUUAACUUUAGAAGCAGUGUAUCUCUGCAAAAUUCUCACUUUGUUUACUACCUAAUGAAAUAUUUGAACUGAAUAACCAUUUUCUUUUCAGGUAUUGGACAAAUAUCUCUAAUGACUACUCUUCACACAAACUCCACUUAUAAGGCCAGACUUCCACAUGCAGACUUCCUUGUUAUGUAAAACUUGAGCUGCUUGACUAAAGCCAAGCAUAUAAAUGACAUUCUGAAUAUUUAGUUCUAGUCCAUUUUAUUUUUAUUUACUUCUGUGCUUCAUUACAAUGAGAGAUACAUGUUUUUGUGUUUUGGGGAUUAUAAUUACUCGUGUCCAUAGAGCAGCUCACCAGAGAGUAUAAUUAUUGCUCACACGUUGGCUCAAGGCAAGAAUAAGAUUAGAAAGUCGGACACGGUCAUGACUCUUACAUUUUAAUUUGUUCACCUCCUGGUAGCACCUAACAGAUCACCUACGCCUGUCCUAAUUUUUCAAUACAAAGAGAUUAAACUCCUGCCUCCAUGAGGCAGAUAUUUUUUGUGAGGAAGAUAUUCAUACCAGAAAAUGAAGUUCACCUUACUCACAAAGACAUAGAGCUGUCCGAAUCGCCACCUGCGGCAGGGACGGGGACGGCACCCAGGGCAGCUGGCCACGCGUGCACCACAGCCAAUGUCACAGAAAUGUCCGAGGCCACAGAGACACGACAGACAGCGCUGGGUGCACAGGGAUGGAGCGCGUCCUCUUUUUGGGGAGAAUUCAAGCAAGGUCUUGGGGCAAGCUGCGUACCUACCACAGCUGGAGAGAUUGAUUCAGGCUGGAGGUGACAUAUCCAUUGCUCGUGAGCCACGUGUACACCAAGAAUCGGUUUGACGUGGCCUCUGAGGACUCCUUGAAGACAGGGGCUACCGCGGGGAUGGCCAGAGAGCCAUCUAUUUCCAGGUGGAACCUGGUCCAGAAUUCAAAAGCGCUUUUAGUGCAGGAAGACACUGGCCUGCCCCUUACUUGCCUGGAGAGCGGGCGCAGAGGGAGGGAGGGUGCUGCCUGGCGCAGGUACCUGCUCCUUUGCUAUUACACUGGCCUGUGCACUGCUGACGCUUCUGGUUUCUUCUUUUUUCUGUCUGGUGCACAGUUUAAUUUCCUGAGAACCCUCAUGCUUCAGUAUAACAAAAGUCUCCAGGCUUUAACAUAGAAUGUCUGGUAAGACAUUAUGGUUUGUGCUAUACGUUGGGCUAAGCCAAACAAGUUAAGCUCUAUCAAGCAGUAAAAACUGGCAACAUCCCUUCUUUGUCUACUACCAGUGAAACCUGGACCUCUAAAUCACUGAAAAAUAUCUGGUACUCAGACUUUGCCCGGGCUGAAUUACUCUGAGUUUGUGUGAAGAUUUUCCUCCUCCGCAGGGAGUCCUGACCAUCUCCUCAGAGCUAUAUUGAACAGCAUGUAUUCAUGAGCUUAGUUUGGGAACUACAUCCCUAGCUAUAAUGUUGGCCGAGAUUUCUCCAUGACGCCUUGGUAAGGUACGUGAGACCACGUAGAGAUGGCCAUCCCGCUCUCCAUGCUACAACCGAGUGAACAGAGCAGCCACUUUUCCCUCUAUACACUUGGUUGAGAUCUUCCCUUUCACUGUCUCACCAUGUACAGCUUCCUGCUCUGACUCCCGAAAAACUGUCUGUCUUGACGACAGGGUAAGGAACAGCAGAAUUUCUAACGUGCCAUUCUUUUUCCUGAACCUGGUUUAUAUUUGAUCACAACCACUUUGGUAUUAGAAGCCAGGUACCAUACAUGACCAUUAGAAGCUUUGCUGAAUGUGACAUCUCACUUUUUUAUUGAAGUGAAGCAAGGAUUAUAAUUUUUUAAUUCUACCCAGGACCAGAACCCUCAUAAGAGUUGUACACACUUGCAAUUUUAACGACUUAAAAGUACCACUUAUCUCAUGCCUGAAUUUAGCCCAAAAUGACUCACUACAUAACAAUACAUUUUUUUUCAGAGAUUUGUCUCCAUUACAGAAAUGCUGGAAGUGAUAAGAGGAGAGAGAGCAAGCUGUUUGUAAAUAUUACUUAUUCUGUUUUAACAUCUCUUAGUAGUAAAUGUUCACAAACAAGCAUAAAUUGAGAAGUUCAUUCUGCAUAUUUUACCUUCGUUUUACCUGUUUCUUUUAUCGGACUUACGUCUGACUGUAUGAUUUUAAGUGGUUUUUCAAAAUUGCUUCAAAAAAGAUGCUUCUGUAGAGUUUGCAUAUACUUGAUAUAUAUAUCUUCAGAAUGAUUUGUUCUUGUGCAUGCUUUUAGUUACAGAAUAAAGACUGCUUAAACUUU